UGAGGGUGUCAUAUGGGCUUAUCAGGAAC
rnacentral:piRNA from 1 species